rnacentral:rRNA from 1 species
GACGAACGCUGGCGGCGUGCCUAAUACAUGCAAGUCGAACGCUGAAGGAGGAGCUUGCUUCUCUGGAUGAGUUGCGAACGGGUGAGUAACGCGUAGGUAACCUGCCUGGUAGCGGGGGAUAACUAUUGGAAACGAUAGCUAAUACCGCAUAAGAUUGACUAUUGCAUGAUAGUCAGUUAAAAGGUGCAAUUGCAUCACUACCAGAUGGACCUGCGUUGUAUUAGCUAGUUGGUGGGGUAACGGCUCACCAAGGCGACGAUACAUAGCCGACCUGAGAGGGGGAUCGGCCACACUGGGACUGAGACACGGCCCAGACUCCUACGGGAGGCAGCAGUAGGGAAUCUUCGGCAAUGGACGGAAGUCUGACCGAGCAACGCCGCGUGAGUGAAGAAGGUUUUCGGAUCGUAAAGCUCUGUUGUAAGAGAGGAACGAGUGUGAGAGUGGAAAGUUCACACUGUGACGGUAGCUUACCAGAAAGGGACGGCUAACUACGUG